rnacentral:rRNA from 1 species
AAUGGGGAAACCCAGUGUGUUUCGACACACUAUCAUUAACUGAAUCCAUAGGUUAAUGAGGCGAACCGGGGGAACUGAAACAUCUAAGUACCCCGAGGAAAAGAAAUCAACCGAGAUUCCCCCAGUAGCGGCGAGCGAACGGGGAGCAGCCCAGAGCCUGAAUCAGUGUGUGUGUUAGUGGAAGCGUCUGGAAAGGCGCGCGAUACAGGGUGACAGCCCCGUACACAAAAAUGCACAUGCUGUGAGCUCGAUGAGUAGGGCGGGACACGUGGUAUCCUGUCUGAAUAUGGGGGGACCAUCCUCCAAGGCUAAAUACUCCUGACUGACCGAUAGUGAACCAGUACCGUGAGGGAAAGGCGAAAAGAACCCCGGCGAGGGGAGUGAAAAAGAACCUGAAACCGUGUACGUACAAGCAGUGGGAGCCUCUUUUAUGGGGUGACUGCGUACCUUUUGUAUAAUGGGUCAGCGACUUAUAUUCUGUAGCAAGGUUAACCGAAUAGGGGAGCCGAAGGGAAACCGAGUCUUAACUGGGCGUUAAGUUGCAGGGUAUAGACCCGAAACCCGGUGAUCUAGCCAUGGGCAGGUUGAAGGUUGGGUAACACUAACUGGAGGACCGAACCGACUAAUGUUGAAAAAUUAGCGGAUGACUUGUGGCUGGGGGUGAAAGGCCAAUCAAACCGGGAGAUAGCUGGUUCUCCCCGAAAGCUAUUUAGGUAGCGCCUCGUGAAUUCAUCUCCGGGGGUAGAGCACUGUUUCGGCAAGGGGGUCAUCCCGACUUACCAACCCGAUGCAAACUGCGAAUACCGGAGAAUGUUAUCACGGGAGACACACGGCGGGUGCUAACGUCCGUCGUGAAGAGGGAAACAACCCAGACCGCCAGCUAAGGUCCCAAAGUCAUGGUUAAGUGGGAAACGAUGUGGGAAGGCCCAGACAGCCAGGAUGUUGGCUUAGAAGCAGCCAUCAUUUAAAGAAAGCGUAAUAGCUCACUGGUCGAGUCGGCCUGCGCGGAAGAUGUAACGGGGCUAAACCAUGCACCGAAGCUGCGGCAGCGACGCUUAUGCGUUGUUGGGUAGGGGAGCGUUCUGUAAGCCUGUGAAGGUGUGCUGUGAGGCAUGCUGGAGGUAUCAGAAGUGCGAAUGCUGACAUAAGUAACGAUAAAGCGGGUGAAAAGCCCGCUCGCCGGAAGACCAAGGGUUCCUGUCCAACGUUAAUCGGGGCAGGGUGAGUCGACCCCUAAGGCGAGGCCGAAAGGCGUAGUCGAUGGGAAACAGGUUAAUAUUCCUGUACUUGGUGUUACUGCGAAGGGGGGACGGAGAAGGCUAUGUUGGCCGGGCGACGGUUGUCCCGGUUUAAGCGUGUAGGCUGGUUUUCCAGGCAAAUCCGGAAAAUCAAGGCUGAGGCGUGAUGACGAGGCACUACGGUGCUGAAGCAACAAAUGCCCUGCUUCCAGGAAAAGCCUCUAAGCAUCAGGUAACAUCAAAUCGUACCCCAAACCGACACAGGUGGUCAGGUAGAGAAUACCAAGGCGCUUGAGAGAACUCGGGUGAAGGAACUAGGCAAAAUGGUGCCGUAACUUCGGGAGAAGGCACGCUGAUAUGUAGGUGAAGCGACUUGCUCGUGGAGCUGAAAUCAGUCGAAGAUACCAGCUGGCUGCAACUGUUUAUUAAAAACACAGCACUGUGCAAACACGAAAGUGGACGUAUACGGUGUGACGCCUGCCCGGUGCCGGAAGGUUAAUUGAUGGGGUCAGCGCAAGCGAAGCUCUUGAUCGAAGCCCCGGUAAACGGCGGCCGUAACUAUAACGGUCCUAAGGUAGCGAAAUUCCUUGUCGGGUAAGUUCCGACCUGCACGAAUGGCGUAAUGAUGGCCAGGCUGUCUCCACCCGAGACUCAGUGAAAUUGAACUCGCUGUGAAGAUGCAGUGUACCCGCGGCAAGACGGAAAGACCCCGUGAACCUUUACUAUAGCUUGACACUGAACAUUGAGCCUUGAUGUGUAGGAUAGGUGGGAGGCUUUGAAGUGUGGACGCCAGUCUGCAUGGAGCCGACCUUGAAAUACCACCCUUUAAUGUUUGAUGUUCUAACGUUGACCCGUAAUCCGGGUUGCGGACAGUGUCUGGUGGGUAGUUUGACUGGGGCGGUCUCCUCCUAAAGAGUAACGGAGGAGCACGAAGGUUGGCUAAUCCUGGUCGGACAUCAGGAGGUUAGUGCAAUGGCAUAAGCCAGCUUGACUGCGAGCGUGACGGCGCGAGCAGGUGCGAAAGCAGGUCAUAGUGAUCCGGUGGUUCUGAAUGGAAGGGCCAUCGCUCAACGGAUAAAAGGUACUCCGGGGAUAACAGGCUGAUACCGCCCAAGAGUUCAUAUCGACGGCGGUGUUUGGCACCUCGAUGUCGGCUCAUCACAUCCUGGGGCUGAAGUAGGUCCCAAGGGUAUGGCUGUUCGCCAUUUAAAGUGGUACGCGAGCUGGGUUUAGAACGUCGUGAGACAGUUCGGUCCCUAUCUGCCGUGGGCGCUGGAGAACUGAGGGGGGCUGCUCCUAGUACGAGAGGACCGGAGUGGACGCAUCACUGGUGUUCGGGUUGUCAUGCCAAUGGCACUGCCCGGUAGCUAAAUGCGGAAGAGAUAAGUGCUGAAAGCAUCUAAGCACGAAACUUGCC